rnacentral:rRNA from 1 species
CWAAYGACUCUCGGCAACGGAUAUCUCGGCUCACGCAUCGAUGAAGAACGUAGCAAAAUGCGAUACUUGGUGUGAAUUGCAGAAUCCCGUGAACCAUCGAGUUUUUGAACGCAAGUUGCGCCCGAARCCAUCCGGYCGAGGGCACGCCUGCCUGGGCGUCACGC